UACGUAGGGUGCAAGCGUUGUCCGGAAUUAUUGGGCGUAAAGAUCUCGUAGGCGGUCUGUCGCGUCUGCUGUGAAAACUCAGGGCUUAACCCUGAGCUUGCAGUGGGUACGGGCAGACUAGAGUGCGGUAGGGGAGACUGGAAUUCCUGGUGUAGCGGUGAAAUGCGCAGAUAUCAGGAGGAACACCGGUGGCGAAGGCGGGUCUCUGGGCCGUAACUGACGCUGAGGAGCGAAAGCAUGGGGAGCGAACAGG
rnacentral:rRNA from 1 species